AACGCACAUUGCACUUUUCGGUAUCCGGGAAGGAAUUCCUGUUUAGAAUUCUUUUAAAUCCUCAUACAUUGUUCUUUGAAUAAUGCAAAAGAUGGGAAGGAUGGUGUUUUCCUUUUGCGAGGAAUUCGCUUGAAUGCAUGGUAUCCCAUGAUGUUGAAUCAUGUUGAUGGACAUUUUAUUUGAAGAUUCAGUUCUUGAUAAAUGAAAGUCAAUGUUGAAACGGGUCAGUUAAAGGAUGCCUCUUCAACAAGUUGGAUUGUUGAAACUUUUAAACUCUUGAUCUCAAAUCAGAGAAGGUCACCCGCUGAACUUAA
rnacentral:misc_RNA from 1 species